rnacentral:misc_RNA from 1 species
UUUAUAUAAGAGAGAAUAGUAUUGACACAAUUUAAAAUAAUUUACGUAUCGAACUAAUAGCAAAAAAUUUUGAAGUGAAUUUUCACGAUUUAAUAGUAAACACAUGUUUUGGCUUUUGGACUUGUAAUAUUGGUAUCCCAAAGUAAUUUAAGAUGAGCAUGACAAUGGAAUGCUGAUGUAGGCCUUGCCUGAAUGAUUUGGAGGACGAUACAGCUGAUUAAAGCAGCAGCAGGAGCAAUAAUUCCCAGUGCUCCAAUAGAAAGGGACUGGAAGCAACGGGAACAGGGAAGAAACAAAGUUGCUUGAAUAAAACAAAAUGCGAACUAUUUUCUGAGCAUCUGAUUGAGUUGAAAGCAUAUCACCAAAGCUUCUAAAGCUAAACAUUUCAAUCAAAUACUACUUAUCAAGCUAAUAUCAUAUUCAGUUUAUUGGCGCAGAGAGGAUACACGCAGGCUUCCUGUCCACCAUGCAAGCAAUUCUUGAUCUUUGAUUUGAUCACAUUAGGCCCACAACAGUUCAGUUGGACGCAGUCUUUGCAGAUGACUCCAGGGAUGCCAAGCCUUUAUAUAUCAAGUCUUUGCAGGCCUUCCCAAUAUUUCUUCAAUUCUCACACCCAUUUUUCUAUAUGAAGACUUAACGGUAUCUCCAUAAAAUCUCUUAAUUUUUUAACUGACAAAUCAAUAAAGUCAUUCCAGAAAAAGUAUGGACAGAGAUGAUUAGCUAGCACUUGUAAAUUGCAGGAUGACAUCCAUCUCUGCUCAUAUACAAAAGAUCACCAACAGGCAAUCUAUCCAAAACAUUACACACUUUAACCAGAAAAUGAGAGUUAUUGCCUGGUCAAUGCAAAUUUUUUUUCUCAGCUGCCAAACACCUCGGGAAAUUUGAAAUCAUGCUAUCUCAAGAUUGGGAAGUGUUUAAAACCAGCCCUUUCAAUGCGGGCAUUAGAUUCUCUAGGAACUCUCUUUUACUCAAAAUUCUAUCAGAUGUACAGUCUUCUUCAUCACCAGUUGCAACAGAAACAAGAGAUAAAAGUGUCACUGUUGCAGUUUGGUAAUCAGUCAAGAUCUUAUAUGCUGAAUCAUCUAGUUUGUCCUUCAAUCGAGACACAGCAAUAGAAAUGGCCCUUCCGGGGGCUUGAAGGGCUUUACUGCAAACCUGAAUAUAGAGUAGGGAAACAACUUUAGGCAGAAGAGUCACUGGAUCAGUUUCAGCAGAAACUUGAGCUGACAAAUCCUUGCGAUAUGAAUGCAGAAGACUUCUUUCCAAUUUUUUGUCAAGCUUCUUCAACAGUAAGCCACUUUCCUCUGCCAUUUCUCUCAGUGAAGUCAUGAAUGCUUCUACCCGCUUCCCUUCCAAAGCUUCCACAACUGCAAGAGCUUUCUUUGUAAGGGAUCCUGGAAAACUUUUGGCAAGAGCAAUUCUUUCUGCAGAAUUAAGAGUGAUAGAUUCUAAACUCUGAGACUCUUCGACUUCAAUUCCAUUCUUCAAUUUGUUGUGCAUGUCCAAGUUAUGAAAGAGCACAUCUGCAAUAGAAGCAGCUAUUGUUCUUAAUAAAUGCCUGUGCAAAACAACUGAAGUUGAUUGGUCAUCUUCAAACAAAUCUAGUGCUUUUUCAUACAGCUGCAUAUUUAAGAAAGACUCAUCAAGCCUCUUUUGCAGAUUAUCAAGCAACCAUUUCAUUUUCUCAGUAUUCUCUGUAAAUAACGCCUUCCUUCUCUCUUUCAAAUAAUUAAUAAGCAUAGGCCUCAUAUAGUUAGAUAACGGUCUAAGUAUUAUCUGCAGAUCUUCUACACCUUGCUCUUCAAAAUCAGGAACCAGAGUGAGGAUCUUUUGCGUUACCCACUCUUCUGAAGGAACAUUAAUUUUGUCAUCUUUAGCUAAAUCCUUUUUAGCUCCUGUUUUGGUAUCUGACACUUGAUUAGAAGAUGCAUCCUUGCCUUUCCUUUGGUUUUUCUUAGAUUUUGCAGGAACGUAGUCAUCAUCAUCAGGAAUGCUUUCAGCUGUUUUUGUUCCAGCAGAUUUUCCCUUUUUCUUCUUUUUCUCAUUAACAGUGUUGCUUACCUCACUAGAUUUGCUGGAAUCAUUUCUAACUUUAACUUCCUUAACCAAGUUUGAGUCAUCGCUCAGCACAACACCAGAAGACCCUGAAAGACUAAAGGCAUCCAUCUCUUUUUCCAUGCAAUCAUAAAUGGACUUGACGAAACCAUUACUGAAUACAUAUGACUCUCCCAGGAUGAGUGCUUUAUUACCCUGAAGGGAAACAGAAAGCAACUAAACUGAAUAAAUAAUUCACCUGAUUUAGUAAAUGAACAAUUAUGGACAUAGAAAAAUUUCACCUUGAGGGCUAAUUGAACAGAAGGACAAAGUGACAAAAUCUUAGACGCAUCUUGUGAUCCGAAGGAUGCAGGUAAUAUAGAAAGAGAAUCAAUCCAGCUACCACGCUCAAUCGCAUCCUCAACAGCAGAAUCCAACAUCUCAAUCAAGGAGGGGUGAGCAAAUGCAGUAAUCAUAGGAAGACCUUCAGGAUACCUGGACUAAAUUGAAGUGGAGGACCACCAUUUUAAUCAUACAAUCAGAGAAGAAUUGUCAAGUAAACAGUCAUGCUUCACAUAAAUCCAAUGACCUUAGAAGGAAAAAGAAUCCAAACUUCAGAAAUAUAAAAUCAACAUGAUCUCAAUAAAAUACCAGCAAGAACUGAACAGGCUGGGAAAUUCCAAGUUUGUUCAGAGUGUCAUAACUGAUAAAAGAAUUCUGUGAAAAGAAGGAAUCUACACACUCCUUUUGAGCAGUUGCAAAGACAGUUGGGGUCCAAUGAACUCCUGCACGGAGUGAUCCAAGAACCUCGCCUUCCUUCACUAAUCCAUUAAAAAUGGACUGAAAAAAUGAACUUUCAACAGCGACACCACUGGCUCCAUCCAUUUCAUGCAACAACUGCUGUAAAGUUCCCCAUAAGACUGACAAAUUUGUAGGAACUGUGAUACCCCUCGCAGCACCACGAACCAUGGCACUAACACGAGCAACAUAAGCUGGUGUAUACAACUGCCCGCCUUCAAGCCUACCUUUCACCAAAGUUCCAAGGCGGGCUUCCAGCAUAGAAGCCACGAAUUCUGAUCCAACAUUCAACUGCGUAGCAAGUUCUGCCAAAGCAAUUUGACUACACUCUUGAAGCCUCUCGUUGAUUUCUUCUGCAACGUUAUCCCAAUAAGACUCUGAUAUAAUUUCUCCUUGAAUCAGCAUAAGCCCCGGAUUUUCUGAAACUACUUGUUGAGCUUGCUUUUCAACAUGAUAUAAAUCAACGCCAGUAACAUCUGCAAGAUCUAUCAAUGAAACACGCCCAGAUUUAUUGAUCUCCGCCGCCAUCUCAUGCCUGAGUUGCUCGGGAGUGAUAUAUUCUUUGCCGGAGACGGUGUGAAGAAGGUCGAAAUCGAUGAUGUGAAGCUCCUGAAGCUUUUGAACCAAUUCGACGACGUUUCUAUCAGAUAAUCGGAUGCUCGAUUUCGCUUGCUGCGCGAACUCGAAUUGCCUCUGCAAUUCCAGCAAUUCAGCGUCCAUAUUUGAGCCCUCUCGCUUCUUCAAUUCUUGUUUGAUCAAAGACGCAGAGAUUUUCUGCGUCGUUUACAGUGCCUUCAAACUUUGAUCCCAAAGUGAUGAAAUGAACAUUGAGCUCGGACUCGGAGCAGUUCUCACUGCAAGCAAUUAAUGGGCCACAAUCUUCG